rnacentral:rRNA from 1 species
UACGUAGGGGGCAAGCGUUGUCCGGAAUCAUUGGGCGUAAAGAGCGUGUAGGCGGCUCGAUAAGUCUGCUGUGAAAGUCCAGGGCUCAACCCUGGAAGGCCGGUGGAAACUGUCGGGCUAGAGUCCGGAAGAGGCGAGUGGAAUUCCUGGUGUAGCGGUGAAAUGCGCAGAUAUCAGGAGGAACACCGAUGGCGAAGGCAGCUCGCUGGGACGGUACUGACGCUGAGGCGCGAAAGCGUGGGGAGCAAACAGG